rnacentral:rRNA from 1 species
AUUAAUAAGCGGAGGAAAAGAAACUAACGAGGAUUCCCUCAGUAACGGCGAGUGAAGCGGGAAAAGCCCAGCACCGAAUCCCACGCUCUAACGGGCGUCGGGAACUGUGGUGUUCAGGACAGCCGAUGGGGAUCGGUCGGAGGUCCGAGUCCUCCUGAUCGGGGCUUCACCCAGAGCGGGUGUCAGGCCUCUACGGCCACCGGCCGGUUCUCUUUGGUCGUCCUAGGAGUCGGGUUGUUUGAGAAUGCAGCCCAAAGCGGGUGGUAAACUCCAUCUAAGGCUAAAUACAGACACGAGUCCGAUAGCGCACAAGUACCGUGAGGGAAAGUU